rnacentral:sRNA from 1 species
AGGAUCAAAAAGCAAG